rnacentral:misc_RNA from 1 species
AAAAUUCUGUGACUCGUUUUUUUGACGUUUUUUUUAGGUGGCCUAAGGCAAACGUAUUUUUGAGAAGUUUCUUUUCGGAAACAUAUAUAAACAUAGUAUAUUUUUGGAAAGAAGAAGAGUUAAGCUUGUUUUUUAUGUUAUUUUUACGUACGGUUGUCUUACCAUUUUUUGGAGCAUUUGGCUCAUGAAAAAUAGCUUCAUCGUCAUCUGAUGCAGUUGUUUUAUCAACAUCUGCCAGUGGCAAAUUUUUUCAGAUCUGUAUAGAGUUAAUGUCGAAAUCAAAGUUAUUUUGGUUAAUUUUUUUACCUUUAGCUUUGUCACCAUCUGCUAUGGUUGUCCAAUCAACUCAGCCUUCCACUGAUAACAUCCAUUUUGUUUUUAGUUUUAGUUUUAGUUCCAUCUACAUCUGAAACAGUUGGUAAGUUUAAGAGUCAAUUCUUUUUCAGUAGUGUAUUGAUUUAAUCCCAUUUUCAACUUUUUUUGUUAAUUUUUAUAUUGCAUCUUUUCGUGAUAUUAGUUGCAUCUACAUCCUUCUUUUUUGAUAUUAAUUACACCUUUUUUACAUUAAGCUUUAUCGACACCUGCUGUGGAUGUCGAUAUCAUUUCUUUUGUUAUGGCUAUACUAUAGAUUUAAUAUCAAACUCAAUUUUCUUUUUGAUUACAGCUUUUUUUUUACUUUUAGUUUCAUCAACAUCUACCACAUUUAGAAAGUUUAAAAGCUAUUUCUUUGUUCACUUUGUAUGUAAUAUGUGUAUGUAAGGCCAAUUUCUAAUACUUUUUUACUUGGUUACACCUUUUUUUAAUUUAUAUCUGCUACAGUUAC